UAUAUACUCCCUCCGUUCCUAAUUACUCGUCGCAAAAGUGGAUAUAUCUAGAACUAAAAUACAUCUAGAUAUAUCUAUUUCUAUGACGAGUAAUUCAGAACGGAGGGAGUAGUCU
rfam:Triticum aestivum genome assembly, contig: Triticum_aestivum_CS42_TGACv1_scaffold_570027_7AS